CUGUGGUGGCCCCGGGGACCAGCGCGCACGCCAGGGCCGUGAUCCGGCUGGUCACCCUGAAGCUGUUGACAAUUGAAUAAACACGCUGAAACCCUGGGAUCUGUCAAUGACUGAGGCCGCCC
ensembl:misc_RNA predicted gene, 27636